AUUGAACGCUGGCGGCAGGCCUAACACAUGCAAGUCGAACGGUAACAGGAAGCAGCUUGCUGCUUUGCUGACGAGUGGCGGACGGGUGAGUAAUGUCUGGGAAACUGCCUGAUGGAGGGGGAUAACUACUGGAAACGGCAGCUAAUACCGCAUAACGUCGCAAGACCAAAGAGGGGGACCUUCGGGCCUCUUGCCAUCGGAUGUGCCCAGAUGGGAUUAGCUAGUAGGUGGGGUAACGGCUCACCUAGGCGACGAUCCCUAGCUGGUCUGAGAGGAUGACCAGCCACACUGGAACUGAGACACGGUCCAGACUCCUACGGGAGGCAGCAGUGGGGAAUAUUGCACAAUGGGCGCAAGCCUGAUGCAGCCAUGCCGCGUGUAUGAAGAAGGCCUUCGGGUUGUAAAGUACUUUCAGCGGGGAGGAAGGGAGUAAAGUUAAUACCUUUGCUCAUUGACGUUACCCGCAGAAGAAGCACCGGCUAACUCCGUG
rnacentral:rRNA from 1 species